rnacentral:pre_miRNA from 1 species
CUCUGUAUCCCCUACCCUCACCCCAGCGGGUUUUCAUCGCAGUGAUAUGACGCAUUCAAACCAUUUCUUAUCACCGGGUGUCAAUCAGCUAGGGUGUGGGCGCGGGUAUCCACAGA